UACGUAGGGUGCAAGCGUUGUCCGGAUUUAUUGGGCGUAAAGAGCUCGUAGGCGGUUUAGAAAGUCAGGUGUGAAACCUCCAGGCUCAACCUGGAGACGCCACUUGAUACUUCUAUGACUUGAGUUCGGUAGGGGUAAGCGGAAUUCCUGGUGUAGCGGUGAAAUGCGUAGAUAUCGAGAGGAACACCAGUGGCGAAGGCGACUCACUGGGCUCCACCUGACGCUGAGGCGCGAAAGCGUGGGGAGCGAACCGG
rnacentral:rRNA from 1 species